rnacentral:rRNA from 1 species
CUAUACAUGCAGUCGAGCGAACAGACGAGGAGCUUGCUCCUUUGACGUUAGCGGCGGACGGGUGAGUAACACGUAGGUAACCUACCUAUAAGACUGGGAUAACUUCGGGAAACCGGAGCUAAUACCGGAUAAUAUUUCGAACCGCAUGGUUCGAUAGUGAAAGAUGGCUUUGCUAUCACUUAUAGAUGGACCUGCGCCGUAUUAGCUAGUUGGUAAGGUAACGGCUUACCAAGGCAACGAUACGUAGCCGACCUGAGAGGGUGAUCGGCCACACUGGAACUGAGACACGGUCCAGACUCCUACGGGAGGCAGCAGUAGGGAAUCUUCCGCAAUGGGCGAAAGCCUGACGGAGCAACGCCGCGUGAGUGAUGAAGGUCUUCGGAUCGUAAAACUCUGUUAUUAGGGAAGAACAAACGUGUAAGUAACUGUGCACGUCUUGACGGUACCUAAUCAGAAAGCCACGGCUAACUACGUGCCAGCAGCGGCCGGUAAUAA